UACGUAGGGUGCGAGCGUUAAUCGGAAUUACUGGGCGUAAAGCGUGCGCAGGCGGUUUUGUAAGCCAGAUGUGAAAUCCCCGGGCUUAACCUGGGAAUGGCAUUUGGGACUGCAAGGCUGGAGUGUGGCAGAGGAGACUGGAAUUCCCGGUGUAGCAGUGAAAUGCGUAGAUAUCGGGAGGAAUACCGAUGGCGAAGGCAGGUCUCUGGCUGGACACUGACGCUCAUGCACGAAAGCGUGGGGAGCGAACAGGA
rnacentral:rRNA from 1 species